ACGCUCGACACCUACGGGAGGUAGCAGUGAGGAAUAUUGGUCAAUGGGCGCUAGCCUGAACCAGCCAAGUAGCGUGAAGGAUGAAGGCUCUAUGGGUCGUAAACUUCUUUUAUAUAAGAAUAAAGUGCAGUAUGUAUACUGUUUUGUAUGUAUUAUAUGAAUAAGGAUCGGCUAACUCCGUGCCAACAGCCGCGGUAAUCUGAGCGGGCUGGCAAGGC
rnacentral:rRNA from 1 species